CACAUCCACGCAAAUAACUACACAAACAGACGACGCGGGAAGCCAGCAGAUUUGUACAUCAAUUUAAAGCUGUGCAAUAGCCCUUGGCCGAUGUGUGUCUACUGAUAUGCAAUAUAUAUACAUAUAUAUAUAUAUAUAUAUAUAUAUAUAUGUAUAUAUAUUGCAUAUCAGUAGACACACAUCGGCCAAGGGCUAUUGCACAGCUUUAAAUUGAUGUACAAAUCUGCUGGCUUCCCGCGUCGUCUGUUUGUGUAGUUAUUUGCGUGGAUGUG
rnacentral:miRNA from 1 species